ensembl:lncRNA
GAAUGAAAUGAAAUCUUAAAGAGGUAGAAUAAAAAAAAUAAUAAUAAUAAAAACAAAAAAAAAUUAAAUUAAAUAAAAUAAAAAAAACAACACAAAUAGAACCAACGUAUGUGAGGAGGGGCAAACCUAACUGAGUCUAUACAGAAGGUUAUAGUGUAAACAAGAAGUGAAACCAGGAGUGAGAGAGAGAGAGAGGAGUGGUUCACACUUUAGACUCUCACAGUGUCAGUUAGUCGGAUGCUAACAGCUAACAGUUAAGUUAGCUUUGGCUACACUUGUUUGUUUACACAAGGGUCUGUGAAGUGGGUGCUGUUAUCAGAUUGAACCAGAAGAGGCUGCUCUCAACUUCCGGGAUCAGAUGUUGCUAAGAGACCGAUGCAAGCUUACAACACUUGCAAGUGGAGCAGAACUUGCACUGUUGUAAAUCUGCAUGGGAAACUCGCGCGCUGUCAGUAAUGACGUAUCGCAUAUAACAAUUCACAAAUCAAAACAGCACAUUCACUUCACAGACAAUGGCAAGUUACUAGUUAGCUAGACUAGAAUUAAACCAUUACUUUGCUAUUCAAUUGCAUCACUUCAAUGACUACAAUGAUAUGCGAUGGUUAAAGGAAAGCUUUAAUUUAGGGAGAUGAGGAACAUCGCUCAAAUCACUAAUAAAAGCAAAUAUACUGCAGCGAGAUUUCUUCGUCGCCCAGUUUUAGUAUCACUGCCAGUGGGAUUUCUUCGCCAUGCAGUUCAAAUGUGGGGGUUUCUUCACCCAAUAUCAGAUAAAUUUAGUAUAAAACUAUUUAUACAUGCUGCCUCUGGGAUUUAUAGGAUUUAUGAGAUUUUAAGACUCCCCGUUAUAAUCCAACACUGACCUGCAGUAUUCUAAGAUUAAUUUUGCUCCGUGAACGGGCGAGAGGGCACACAUUAGUUAGCUACGCUAAUGGUUAAACCCAUGGGAGUAAUAGUCUAGUUGUAUGGCAUCAAUCUAGCCAUACAUAACUUAAGGCCUUAAUUUUAAUAUACGCAAGGAACAUCGCUUGCUAACUUCUUCACGCUAAAAGAGGGUUGGCUGGUUUCUCAGUGACGAACUCGGGUACUGUUAAGGCUUGGAACGUGGGCAUGUAUAGCCUACACAUUCAUUCACAAAAACACGCGUUUGGAUAGUAGUCUUGUUUUGAAUGAACAUGCAUAAGAAACACACCAUGGUUACUGAGUCUGGUCACAGAACUAGGUUUAAAACGUUGCCCGCAUUCUCCACCAAUAAUGUAACAAAUUAGCUCAAAGUGAGAUGUACAUAAUUAAUCAUAACGGGUUAUUAUUAACUACAUUCAUCUUCAGGAAUUACUUGUAGCAUUAUAUCAUUAAUAGUACAAUAAAAUUAUUUGUUCGUCCGCA